rnacentral:rRNA from 1 species
GACGAACGCUGGCGGCGUGCUUAACACAUGCAAGUCGAACGGAAAGGCCCUGCUUUUGUGGGGUGCUCGAGUGGCGAACGGGUGAGUAACACGUGAGUAACCUGCCCUUGACUUUGGGAUAACUUCAUGAAACUGGGGCUAAUACCGGAUAGGAGCUCCUGCUUCAUGGUGGGGGUUGGAAAGUUUCGGCGGUUGGGGAUGUACUCGCGGCUUAUCAGCUUGUUGGUGGGGUAGUGGCUUACCAAGGCUUUGACGGGUAGCCGGCCUGAGAGGGUCACCGGCCACAUUGGGACUGAGAUACGGCACAGACUACUACGGGAGGCAGGAGUGGGGAAUAUUGCACAAUGGGCGGAAGCCUGAUGCAGCAACGCAGCGUGCGGGAUGACGGCCUUCGGGUUGUAAACCGCUUUCGCCUGUGACGAAGCGUGAGUGACGGUAAUGGGUAAAGAAGCACCGGCUAACUACGUG